UCUUAUCGAGAGUGACGGAGGGAUCAGGCCCUAUGAAGUCCGGCAACCUUCAAGCAAAUGCUUGAAAAGGUGCUAAAUCCUGCAGGCAGUAAAUGUCUGGAAGAUAAGA
rnacentral:ncRNA from 1 species